rnacentral:misc_RNA from 1 species
UGAAUCCGUGAAGCAGGAUUUUGGCAGCAUUGACAUCCUUGUGCACUCACUUGCAAAUGGGCCAGAGGUUAGCAAACCUCUUCUGGAGACAUCAAGGUAUGGAUAUCUUGCCGCCAUCUCUGCAUCAAGUUACUCAUUUAUUUCCUUACUGAAGCAUUUUGUUCCAAUAAUGAAUCCAGGUGGUUCUUCAAUUUCUCUCACCUACAUUGCCUCUGAAAGGAUCAUUCCAGGGUAUGGUGGAGGCAUGAGUUCAGCAAAGGCUGCUUUAGAAAGUGACACACGGGUGCUAGCUUUCGAGGCGGGAAGAAAGCAUAAAAUCAGAGUCAACACUAUUUCUGCAGGUCCAUUAAGAAGUCGUGCUGCAAAAGCAAUCGGUUUUAUUGAUAUGAUGAUUGAUUACUCAUUGGCCAAUGCACCUCUACAGAAGGAACUAUCUGCAGAGGAGGUGGGUAAUACCGCUGCCUUCCUGGCUUCACCAUUGGCUUCAGCAAUCACUGGCGCAGUUGUGUACGUUGACAAUGGUCUAAAUGCAAUGGGAGUAGGAAUUGACAGCCCGAUCUUUGCGAACCUUGACAUCCCAAAGGAUAAUUGAAAAUUAGGUCGAAAUUCCAAAAUUUCUUCCUUAAGGAACUUCCAAAAAUUUUCAAAAUAAAUGUUGUAACCUUUUUUUUUUUUUUU